CAGCAGCCGCGGUAAUACGAAGGGUGCAAGCGUUAAUCGGAAUUACUGGGCGUAAAGCGUGCGUAGGCGGUGAGUUAAGUCUGCUGUGAAAUCCCCGGGCUCAACCUGGGAAUGGCAGUGGAUACUGGCUCGCUAGAGUGUGUCAGAGGAUGGUGGAAUUCCCGGUGUAGCGGUGAAAUGCGUAGAGAUCGGGAGGAACAUCAGUGGCGAAGGCGGCCAUCUGGGACAACACUGACGCUGAGGCACGAAAGCGUGGGGAGCAAACAGGAUUAGAGACCCGUGUAGUCCCUGUCUCUUAUAA
rnacentral:rRNA from 1 species